rnacentral:rRNA from 1 species
UGGGGAAUAUUGCACAAUGGGCGCAAGCCUGAUGCAGCCAUGCCGCGUGUGUGAAGAAGGCCUUUGGGUUGUAAAGCACUUUCAGCGAGGAGGAAGGGUAGUGUGUUAAUAGCACAUUGCAUUGACGUUACUCGCAGAAGAAGCACCGGCUAACUCCGUGCCAGCAGCCGCGGUAAUACGGAGGGUGCAAGCGUUAAUCGGAAUUACUGGGCGUAAAGCGCACGCAGGCGGUUUGUUAAGUCAGAUGUGAAAUCCCCGCGCUUAACGUGGGAACUGCAUUUGAAACUGGCAAGCUAGAGUCUUGUAGAGGGGGGUAGAAUUCCAGGUGUAGCGGUGAAAUGCGUAGAGAUCUGGAGGAAUACCGGUGGCGAAGGCGGUCCCCUGGACAAAGACUGACGCUCAGGUGCGAAAGCGUGGGGAGCAAACA